rnacentral:lncRNA from 1 species
GGUGGGGAUUGGUUGCUCUUCUCAGGAAGUUCAAAAUACUCACAGGCUCUGGGGAUCUCUGUCCAAAUGACCCCAAACUUCCCCCAUCAACCCUUAGGCACACUUCAACUUUGCUUUGCUUUGGUUACAGGAUUCUCUUCUGAGACUUCAGGGACACUGAAGAAAGUGAGUGGAUCUGACCAGGGAAGAAAACCAACAGACUCUACCAGUAUCCCUAUGACUGGCUUCACUGGGAGAGAUUCCAUUACAGACACUGAAAGAGACAUAUGUGUCAUGGAGACAACUCUAAGAGCCACAGGAGAUGGACCCUCCCUGGGAACAGAACCUCACAAUCCCAUCCACGAAUCUCUGAGCCCAUGGCCAGGCUCCUUUCCUGCCUUAAGUACUCCCACAGCCUGCACAAGAACAGCUUCCCUUGACACUGCUACUUCAUUGGAGGACCCAGGGCCAGCCAGCCUGACUCCAGAGACUGAGAGAAAACCACAGGCAACACCAACUCCAGUUAUCACCCUGCCUCCAGCCAGCACACAGGAAGUUUGCACAACAGCAUCUCCCAGUCCUUCUGACACAACCACAGAGGGCAACAGUGUCAAGUCAGGGACAACCUCUGUUUCUGAUCAAGUGCCUUCCACUUCCAGCCUCUUCCUAAGUAUGCAUAUUUUAAAUAAGCUUCCCAGGGAAGGAAUUGGGGUGUGGCCUUGGAAGAAAUGGGGAGUGU